UACAGGGGGUGCAAACGUUGCUCGGAAUCAUUGGGCGUAAAGCGCACGUAGGCGGUUCGUUAUGUCGGAUGGGAAAGCCCUUGGCUUAACCGAGGAAGUGCAUCCGAAACUGGCGAGCUAGAGUACGAAAGAGGAUCGCGGAAUUCCCGGUGUAGAGGUGAAAUUCGUAGAUAUCGGGAGGAACACCGGUGGCGAAGGCGGCGAUCUGGGUCGAUACUGACGCUGAGGUGCGAAAGCGUGGGGAGCAAACAGG
rnacentral:rRNA from 1 species